rnacentral:rRNA from 1 species
UGGGGAAUAUUGGACAAUGGGGGGAACCCUGAUCCAGCAAUGCCGCGUGUGUGAAGAAGGCCUGAGGGUUGUAAAGCACUUUCAGUGGGGAGGAGGGUUAUUAGUUUAAGAGAUGAAUAACUGGACGUUACCCACAGAAGAAGCACCGGCUAACUCCGUGCCAGCAGCCGCGGUAAUACGGAGGGUGCGAGCGUUAAUCGGAAUUACUGGGCGUAAAGGGUGCGUAGGUGGUUGUGUAAGUUAUCUGUGAAAUCCCUGGGCUCAACCUGGGCAGGUCAGAUAAUACUGCAUGACUCGAGUAUGGGAGAGGGUAGUGGAAUUUCCGGUGUAGCGGUGAAAUGCGUAGAGAUCGGAAGGAACACCGGUGGCGAAGGCGGCUACCUGGCCUAAUACUGACACUGAGGCACGAAAGCGUGGGGAGCAAACAGG